rnacentral:lncRNA from 1 species
AGAGAAUUUUUUAAUAUUUAUUUUUCAGUUCUCAGCGGACACAACAUCUUUGUUUGUAUGUGGUGCUGAGGAUCAAACCCAGGCCGCAUGCAUGCCAGGCAAGCGCACUACCGCUUGAGCCACAUCCCCAGCCCAGUGAUAUUAUUUCUUUACUCUUGCCUAUUUUUGAGUUUUCUAAAUGUAAAGUUAAAUCAUUGAUCUAAAACAUUUUUGUUUUUUCUAUCAUAAUUUUUAUAUUUACAAAAUUUCCUCUAUUAACCACACAACUAUUGGAGUUGCAUUCUACACAUUUUGAUACAUUUCUUUCAUUAUCCUUUGAGUUGAAAUAUUUUCAUUUCUUAUUUGACCCAUUGAUUAUUUUGAAAUGUUAUAUUUAAUUCCUAAAAAAAUUUAGAGAGAUUUUCUAGGUAACUAAUUUGUUAUUUUCUAAUUUACUUCUACUGUGGCAAGACAAUAUGAUAUUAAAAUCUUUCAGAACACAUGUGAGGUCUCAAUUCUUUUAAGUAAAAUAAUGUUUGAUGGUUCAACAGAUGGUCUAUCUUGGUGGAAGUCCCAUGCACACCUUUAACAAACAUGAGUUUUUUGGAUGCCUUGUUCUGUAAGUGCCAAUUUGAUCAAGUUAGUUGAAGUAUAGUUCUGGACUUUUGUAUUUUCAUUUAUUUUUGUUUGUUUGUUCUAUUAAUUACUAAGAAAAAAGUAAUAAUAUCUCUGAGCACUGUCAGUUUGCUUCAUGAGUUUUGAAUUUUGGAAUUAGGAUAAUUAUAUCUUCCUAGUUGAACUUCAUGUUUGUCAUUAUGUAAUAUUAUCUUUUAUCUCUUGUAGUAAUCUUUGAAGUUUAUUUUGUCUUCUGCUAAUGUGACCCUGCCAGAUGUCCUAUGCUUACUGUUGGUGUGGCAGAUUCUUCACCAUCUUUUACUUCCAAAUUAUCUAUGUGUUAUAUUUUAAAUGUGUAUCUUUCAGACAGUGGAAACUUAGGUAUUGCUUUUUUACCCAGUCUGAAAAUAUCUGCCUUUUAAAUGAGGUAUUUAAUCCAUUUAUAUUUAACAUAAAUAUUGAAAUGGCUCAGUUUAAUGCAACCAUCUUAUUCUUGGUUUUUCACUUAUCUGUUUUGUUUAAGUUCCUCUUCUGUUGCUUUCUUGCUUUCUAUUUUGUGAAUCAAACAAUUAUUUUUUGUUAGAGCUUUAUAGUUCUACACAUGGUUGGUUCACCCUGAAAAACUCAUACAUGUGUGAAAACUAACUUCAGUUCAGGAUCUCCUCUUUCCUUCAACUUUCCCCUCCUGUCUUUUCCCUCCUUUCCCAUUCUCCUUCUUCUACUUCACUGAACUUCCUUUUGCUCAUCUAUUAAUUUAUAUUUGAUUAGUUAUUUUUUAUCAUAUUCUUCCCCCUUUAUUUCCUUUAGAGUACUAUCUUCAUUCCACAUAUGAGAGAAAACAUUUGACAUUUGAGUUUGUGAGUUUGGCUAAUUUUACUUUGCAUGAUCUUCUUUAUUUCUAUCCAUUUACUAGCAAAUGCCAUAAUUUUAUUCCUUUUUUAUGGUUGAGUAGAACUCCAUUGUGUGUGUAUGUAUGUAUAUAUAUCUCCACAAUUUCUUAAUCCAUUAAUCUACUGGCAGGCAUUUGGGUUGGUUCAUAAUUUAGCUAUUGGAAUUGUGCUGCUAUGAACAUUGAGAUGGCCGUGUCAGUGUAGUAUGAUAAUUUUAGGUCUUUUAGAAAAAUACAAAGGAGUGGAAUAGCUAGGUCAUAUGGUGACUCCAUCUCUAAUUUUUUGAGGAAUAUCCAUAUUGCUUUCCAGAGUGUUUGUACUAGUUUGUAGUCCCACCAACAAUGUACAAGUGUACAUUUUCCUCAGAACCAUGCCAGUAUUUAUUUUUAUUGUUGUUUAUAUUCUUGAUCUUUGGCAUUCUGAUUGGAGUGAUAUGAAAUCUUAGUUCAGUUUUUAUUUGCAUUUCCCUGGUUGCUAGAGAUGUUAAAACAUUUUUUCAAGUGACCAACAUUUUCCAACAUACUUAUUGGAAAUUUGUGUUUCUUUUUUUGAGAAGUUUCUGUUUAAUUCUUUUGCCCAUUUAUUGAUUGGGAUUUUUUUUUGUGUGUGUGUAUUUGUGUGCUUUGAGUUCUUUGUAUAUCCCAGAAAUUAAUGCCCUGAGGUGUAGGUGGCCAAGAUUUAUCUUAUUCCAUAAGGCUCUCUCUCUCUUCAUGAUUUUAAUUAUUUAAUUUGCUGUACAGAGCUUUUAGUUUAAUAGCAUCCUACUUACUGAUUUUAUUUCUUAUGCUUUGGGGAUCUUGUUAAGGAAGAUGGCACCAGCACCUAUACGAUGGAGUGUUGACUCUAUGUUUUUUUGUAGCAGUUAAAAAGUUUCUGGUCUAUAAUCCUAGGUCUUUGAUCCAUCGUGAUUUAGGAUUUGUGCAGGUUGAGACAGAGAGAGAGGGAUCUAGUUGCAUUUUUCUACAAUACCAUUUGUUUAAAAAAUGCUGUCUUGUAUAUUUUUUUGCAUCUUUGUCAAAUAUCAGACAGCUAUAGGUAUGUGGAUUUAUCUCUGUGUCUUCUAUUCUGUUUCAUUGGUCUUCAUGUCUGUUUUGAUGCCAAUACCAUGCUGGUUUUGUUAGUAUAAUUUCAGAUCAGGUAUUGUGAUGCCUACUGCUUCACUUUUCUUGCCUAGUAUUGCUUUGUCUAUUCUGGAUCAAUUUUCUUUCAAAUGAAUUUAAGAAUUUUAAAAAUAAUUCUGUGAAGAAGGUAAUAGGGAUUUGAUGAUGGUUACAUUGAAUCUGUAUAUUGCUUUGGUAGUAUGGUCAUUUUGACAAUAUUGAUUCUCCUUAUCCAAGAACAUGGGAUAACUUUCCAUCUUCUAAGAUCUUUUUCAAUUUUUUCCUCAGUAUUUAAAGGGAUAAUUGACAUGGAAGCAGACGUCUCUGUGAUCUCAAUAAGACAUUGGCCAGAAGGAUGGACUAUACAUAUAGCUCCUGCUAUUUAAAAGCUAUUAGUCAGAUUUCUAAGCCUGCUCAGAGUACCCAGUUCUUCAGUGGAAAGAUGAAGACAGCAACAGAGGACUUUUAUAAUCUUAUGUCCUUCAAAGUUUGCCAGUAAAUUUAUGGGGUUGUGAUAUAUUAAGCAAUAUGGGAGUCUUAUUAAUGAAUCCUAAUUUAGUGGUAACUUCUCAAAUGCUUAAUCAAGGAUUUAUCUCUACUAAAGAACUGGGAAAAGAUCAACAGAGAAGGUGUGCACCUAUACUACAGUCCCCUCAGCAAGGAUGACGUGGGUUGGGAUAUUUACCUAAUCAGCCUUUUUAAUGAAGGCAUUGAUCUCUUCUUGGACCCAGAAAAAAGCAGAAAAAUAAAUCGGCUAUCUGAUGAUCCUGUCUGAGUUGAUCAACAGCCCCUCACAAGGGAAAAACUUUGAGUGGUUCAUAUAUUAAUUCAAGAACAGCUUCAAUCUGGUCACAGUGAACCUAAUUUUAGCCCAUGCAAUUACCUCAAUUUUUGUAAUAAAGAAAAAAUCUAGGAAAUGGAGAUUGUUAUAAGAUCUCAAGCAAUCAAUUGGAAUUAAUGGGUGCUUUAUAGCCUGGGCUUCCUUUUCCUGCAGCUAUUCCUCUUGAUCAGCAAUUAAUAGUAAUAAAUUUGAAAGAUUGUUUUUUCACUAUACCUUUGCAUCCAACAGAGUAUAAGAGAUUUGCAUUUAGCAUCCCAGCUGUGAAUUUCAAGAACCCUGUAAAAGGUUACUGCUGGAAAGUUUUGUCCCAAGAAGGUUCUACUUAUCAAACAUGGAGGACCUGGAGCCAAAGUUCAAAUGACUAAAGAUUGGACUGGAUGUGUUGAUCCUGACCCCAGCAGGAACCACAGGCUGAGGAGGAAGAGGAGGACUCUACAGACUCAGAAGGCCAACUUGCCAACAUGGGCACAACUAAAGAACCCAACGUAUCAGGUUGAGUGGAUGAUUGAACAAAGGGAGGUGCCAAGUCUCCAAUCACAAUAUUUGUGGUUAUGUUGGCUUAAUUGAGCUGCCAGGUAAGUGGAGUUCAUGGGGAAACUUAUUGGACCUCUUUUCCAGAUCCACAUUUAGUACACCUAGCGGUGUGGACUGGAGAAUCCAUCCCAGUAUUUACAGAUAAACACAUGACACCUAUUCAUGUAACUGGAUUUAGUUAUACUGGCUACAGUGGGAAUCUACUUAUAUGUUGGUUCUAUGAUAAACAUGCUGGCUGUUUAAAAGUAAACUUUGAGGAAAAGAUGGCAUAUGGAUGGCAUAGAUCAGCUAAUCAUACUGGCCCCUGGGACUUAAGAUCAUAUGUCUGGACACUUAUUAAAAUGGGACUUUCUCAAAACAAGCCAGUCAUUCUCAUAGAACAUCCACCAAUACCUUACCACCCUAAUCAUUCUGUAAUAGAAUUUGGCAUGUUUCCUAAAUGGAUGGAAUGUGCAAAUAUCUUGCCAGUGCAACAUAAAGUCUUUAGAAAUGGUGGAUAUAUUUUGUAUUGGUCUCCAAGAAUUGAUAACAGACAGCUACAUCAGGAUUCCUUGACUCCUGGAGGAUUUGUUGGUGAUGUCCUGACUUUCAGUGAUGGUGGCAUGCAAAUGAUCUGUGGCACUUAAUAGUUGCCUCAGAUUUUCUCCAGCACACAGAAGGCCCCAAGCUUGACUUUAUAGACAGGAACUUCAAAGAGGGCUUUGCUAUGGCCUGUGGGCCUGUGUUCAAUCUCCUUAUGCUUUAAUUUCUGGUAACGUAAGAGUAAAAAGAAAAGGAGAAAAAUAUCAUGUAUGCUGUAAUCUAACCAACUGUAUCACCAGAUAUAAUAGAAGGAAAGGAAUAAUCAUUCUUUACCAACCCUCCUUUGUUUUACUUCUAGCUAACAUUUCAGGGCCUUGUUAGGCUGAUGUUGGAGUUCAAGUUUUAAAACAAAUGCAUGCCCAGCUAGGCAGACCCUGAUUAUGCUAUUGGCUUUAUAGUUCUUAGAGUAGUUGUUUUAAUAUUCUUUAUAGCCUCUACUGUGAAAGUUUCUGUGUAUUAUCUCAAAUCAUUUAAAAUGCUCAUUUUCUUAAUAAUUUGGCUUAAAAUGCUUCCAAGGCCCUACAUUAUCAGGUAAAUAUUGAUGAAAAGAUUGAGACUAAAUUAAAUUCUUUGGAAGCUACUGUCCAAAGAAUUGGAAAUAUUGAAAAUGAAUGUUCCACUCCCAAAUUUAAUCAAAGGCUUUGUUGCCAUGCUGGCUAUAAGUAUGUCUGCAUUAUUGCAGCCAAAUGUUUCCAAAUGGAGUUGGGAAAAGGUAAAAAAUCAUUUAAUGGGCAUUUGGCACAGCAAUAAUAACUGUUUGGGUUUUUUGGACUUACAUCAUCGCAUUCAGGAUAUUCAGAAUAGCAGGAUUGAUCCCCUGGAUCCUGCAUUUUUAGCUGAACAAAUACUUCAUGACUUAAAUGGUUUUAAUUCUGGAAAUAUGUUGAAACAUUCCAUGUGGUAUAUUUUUGGAAUGAUAUGUUUGCUACUAAUUCUCUUUUGUGUCAUAAUAAUAGGUUGCUGUAACUUCAGAGAGGAGAUCUGGGAACUUCAAGUUACUGCAUUUAAAAAAUAAAGAAGGGGGAGAUGUUGAAAGCAGUUAAUAAAUCAAUGCUUUGAAUUAUGCAAAACCUGGACAAUGAGGCAUUGCUUCUGGGAAUCUUGUGGUGUGAAAGUGUCUGGGGGAAUGUCCAUUUGCAAAAAUCAUGGCUCCUGUUAAUAGGAAGAUUCUAUGCUUGUCAAGGAAUUUGCUAGUUUAAAAAGCCUUGGUUUCAAAUCCCAGCUGCCCAGAGGUAAAAGAGAUGGGCAUAACCUGCUAAGCCUCAACCAUAUUGUUUUUCUCAAACUUCAUCCUUAUUACCUCAAGAAUUUUUUUGUACUGAAGCCCUUUGGUGUUCCUACCUAUAAAAAUAAAAUGCAUAUUCUAAUUUUUUUUGUUAGAGCCAUUGUCCACCAGAGCUGGAUCAUCCCCCACUUUUCACUAAUAAUUGAGUCUUGUCUUAUUUCUAUAAUUUUUAAUGAAUUUUCUUAAUCUAGCUCACUGCUUGUGUUGGUUAACUGUUCACCCACUGUGCUGGCUGCAGCAGAUGACAAGUGUUCUAUAAUUUUCAUUGUAGAUCACUUUUAUAUCCUUAGUUAGAUUAAUUCCCAGGUAUUCACUUUUUUGAGGUUAUUGUGAAUGGGAUGAUUUCUCUGAUUUCUUCCUCUGCUGAGUCACUGUUGGAGUAUAUUAAAGCCAUUGAUUUAUGGACAUUAACUUUAUACACUUUGCUAAACUCAUUUAUAAGCUCUAGAAGUC